rnacentral:rRNA from 2 species
UACGGAGGGGGCUAGCGUUGUUCGGAAUUACUGGGCGUAAAGCGCACGUAGGCGGCUUUGCAAGUCAGAGGUGAAAGCCCGGGGCUCAACCCCGGAAUUGCCUUUGAGACUGCAUCGCUAGAACGUCGGAGAGGUGAGUGGAAUUCCGAGUGUAGAGGUGAAAUUCGUAGAUAUUCGGAAGAACACCAGUGGCGAAGGCGACUCACUGGACGACCGUUGACGCUGAGGUGCGAAAGCGUGGGGAGCAAACAGG